ACUCCUACGGGAGGCAGCAGUGAGGAAUAUUGGUCAAUGGGCGCAAGCCUGAACCAGCCAUGUCGCGUGCAGGAAGACUGCCCUAUGGGUUGUAAACUGCUUUUAUACGGGAAGAAUGUGACCUACGUGUAGGUUUUUGCCGGUACCGUAUGAAUAAGCAUCGGCUAACUCCGUGCCAGCAGCCGCGGUAAUACGGAGGAUGCAAGCGUUAUCCGGAUUCAUUGGGUUUAAAGGGUGCGUAGGCGGAAGUGUAAGUCAGGGGUGAAAGUUUGCAGCUCAACUGUAAAAUUGCCUUUGAUACUGCAUUUCUUGAGUACAUUUGAGGUAGGCGGAAUGUGUUGUGUAGCGGUGAAAUGCUUAGAUAUAACACAGAACACCGAUUGCGAAGGCAGCUUACUAAACUGUAACUGACGCUGAUGCACGAAAGCGUGGGGAGCAAACAGGAUUAGAUACCCUGGUAGGCGUAGU
rnacentral:rRNA from 1 species